rnacentral:tRNA from 1 species
GUGAUUAGCUCAGUUGGGAGAGCAUCGCCCUUACAAGGCGAGGGUCACUGGUUCAAGUCCAGUAUAUA